UCCACCUACUUGGGAACAUCCUUCUUGUUGCCUGCCCCACCCCUAUCCUGUGGGCACCUGCCAUUGCAAAGUCACUGCCCUGACUUUCUCCACAUUUCUUAACUUUCACUUUAGGUAGAACACAGAGCAAUGGACCCUCUCUAGGAGAUGUCCUCUGGGUGCCACGGAACCAUGUAUGAAGAGUCAUAGGCAUCCUUUUCCAGUGUGUAUGGACUCUUAGACUAAACUAAUAUGAAAAAUAUCUGCAUGGAAGAGAGAAUCUAGCCUAUAUGCUUCUUUCUCAGGACCUUCUUGUGUCUCCAAAGAAAGUUACUCCAUGCUAUUACUGGUAGCUGCCUGAUCCCAGAAAUCCACUAAAUGCCCUAUAAUUGCCAAUCCAACGAAAUCCAGCUCAACUCCAACAAAAACUUAGUCAAGUCCUCAUCUCCAACCAGGAUUCUCUGUAAUCUCUUCAGAAAGUCUUACCAGCACAGAAUCAAUCACCAACACCAAAAUCCAAGGCAGAAGAAUCCCUCGAACACAGAAGACCUACCAAAGUAGAGACACUAAAGCAGAAGUCCUCCUUCAAUAAGAGCCACCAAGCUCAUUCUACAAAUGAAGAAAUGAGACAAACAGAGGAACUGAGGUUCAAGUGAUUUGUUCAGGGUCACACAGCCCAGAUUUGAACUCAUAAAGAUGAUUCCAAGCCCAGUGCACUAUUCACUACACCACUUAGCACCCAACUAUUUGCCUAAAGCUGUUAUAAGUUAUCUCCCCCAUUAGACUAUGAGGUCCUUGAGACCAGAGAUUGUCUUUUACCUUUUUUUAAACACUCCCUGUUUAGCUCAAUGCCUGGCACUCAGUAGUUAUCUGAUAUAUCCUUAUUAACAAACUGAUCAACUGACUCCCCAAAAUAUAAAAAGCAGCAUAUCUUCAUACAUGUCACAUUAACAUUUUCUUUGUAGCUCCCUCUGUAUAGUCAGUAGAAGGUUAAUGGGGUUUAAGAGGAAGAAAUUGUAGGUGAUAAAUAGGUUCAGGGAAUGAAAGAGGGAGCAGUGGGGACACAAUGAUGGGGCAAGUGGUUGGGAAGCCUGGAAUGUGUGGUAAUAACCAAUGUUUUCCCAAUGCUCAGCCACAUCUCCAUCCUCCUUCUUUAGCAGGGCCAAAGAUUUCCCUCUCCUCUGGGAAGAUUUCCCUAUAAUUGACCUUCUAUUUGGGGAGUGAAUUCCCAAAGACUAUAUGGAAGGGCUUCUAGAUUGCUUAGUGGAUAGAGCACAUUGCUUAGUGGAUAGAGGACCUGGGUUCAAAUCUGGUCUCAGACACUUCCUAGCUGUGUGACCUUAGGCAAAUUGCCUAACCUUAAUUGCCUAGCCCUUGCAACUUUUCUGCCUUAGAAUUAAGACAGAAGGUGUGGAAGAGGAGAUAUCAAUGGAUCCCCAGGUGGCCAAUAUAUUGAGGGGCACCAUUAGUGUGUGGAUAAUGUCAUUUACAUUGUCUAUAUAUGUCGCCUUCGACAUCAGAAAUAAAUGGCAACACUUAGAGAAGAGAAGGAAAAGAAAAGAAAAAAUAAAUAAAUGGUCCUUUUACUGGCAGCUGAAUGGGAUACUGGCAGUGACUUCUUCUAUUGAUCUGGGUGCUUUUAUUUGUUACGUCUGGACAAAACAUGGUUGCCCAGGGUUUUUUUUUGUGGAUGAUUGGAUGAACUGGCUUGUUUGGACUGUUAUAACAGUCUUCACGAUGAUCUUAAUAAUAACACUUUUGAAUAUGCGUGUGGCUUUUUUUUCCUUCUUUAUGAUGCUGCAGUUUUCAGUGAAUAUCAGCAAUAUAGACAAUAUUAUCUUUUUUCUUCCGAUGCUAAGGAUGUUUUUGGCCUACUAUCAGUGGUGGUUCCUUCUCCAAUGAUUCAGGCACAUUCUGUUUUACCUGUCACCAUGGGUACAAUGAAACCAGCAUCAACAUGGAGCACCAAAUAUCCCUGAAACCUGUCAUGAUGGAACCUUUGCUGCCUGAUCUAUGAGGAUCUCCUGAGUCACAGACUUUAUUCUUUCUCACCUUAACUUAAGACUUGCAAUGAAGAGACAGUGAGCCCAAAGAAACUAAGUCUUUCAUUUAACACCCAAGACUACAGAAUAAACAGAAGGUUCUUCAGGCUAUUAAACUACUCUUUGUAAAUGAAUAAAAACAUUGGUGUAUACAUUGUAGGGUCACUGAGAGCCAGUUCAUGAUACCUCUGGCAGAGGACAGAAUGAUGGGAUUUAUUUGAACUUCUUGUUCACACACAGUUCUAAUUUCCUCCUUUAAGUCUUUAUGUUUUGAAAGCUUGCAUUCCAAGUAGCUCAGAUAUCAUGAGUUUUCAAUGUGAUGACUUCCAUUAAAAUUGUUCUUAAUUUUACAUAUAAGUUAUAACCAUCAUCCCCAAACCACAGAAUUUCAGAAUUGGGAGACAUGGUCUGGAAUCAAAAUGACCUUUGUUCAAAUUGGGCCUGAGUUACUAGCUAAGUGACCCUGGGCAAGUUGCUUAACUUCUGUUUGCCUCCAUUUCCUCAACUUCAAAACUGAGCUAAUAAAAUCUUUGAACUUACAA